CCUGGCUCAGAAUCAACGCUGGCGGCGUGCCUCAGACAUGCAAGUCGAACGAUUAAACUUUCCUUCGGGAAAGAUAUAAAGUGGCGCACGGGUGAGUAACACGUAAGUAAUCUACCUUCGAGUGGGGAAUAACGUUCGGAAACGAACGCUAAUACCGCAUAAUGCAGCGGCAUCGAAAGAUGACAGUUGUUAAAGGAGCAAUUCGCUUGAAGAGGAGCUUGCGGCAGAUUAGCUAGUUGGUAAGGUAAUGGCUUACCAAGGCUUCGAUCUGUAUCCGGUCUAAGAGGACGGUCGGACACACUGACACUGAAUAACGGGUCAGACUCCUACGGGAGGCAGCAGUCGGGAAUUUUGGGCAAUGGGCGAAAGCCUGACCCAGCAACGCCGCGUGAAGGAUGAAGUAUUUCGGUAUGUAAACUUCGAAAGAAUGGGAAGAACUCAAUGACGGUACCAUUUAUAAGGUCCGGCUAACUACGUGCCAGCAGCCGCGGUAAUACGUAGGGACCAAGCGUUGUUCGGAUUUACUG
rnacentral:rRNA from 1 species